rnacentral:rRNA from 1 species
UACGUAGGGUGCUAGCGUUGUUCGGAAUCAUUGGGCGUAAAGCGCGUGUAGGUGGUCAGUAAAGUUGGGUGUGAAAUCCCUCGGCUCAACCGAGGAAGUGCACUCAAAACUAACUGGCUUGAGAGUGGUAGAGGAAGGUGGAAUUCCUAGUGUAGAGGUGAAAUUCGUAGAUAUUAGGAGGAAUACCGGAGGCGAAGGCGGCCUUCUGGACCAUUUCUGACACUUGAGACGCGAAAGCGUGGGUAGCAAACAG